rnacentral:rRNA from 1 species
GUGUCAGCCGCCGCGGUAAUACAGAGGUCUCAAGCGUUGUUCGGAAUUACUGGGCGUAAAGGGUGCGCAGGCCGCGCGGGCAGUCAAAUGUGAAAUCCUGGGGCUCAACCUCAGAAUUGCGCUUGAUACUUCCGCGCUAGAACUUUGGAGAGGGAUCUGGAAUUCUCGGUGUAGCAGUGAAAUGCGUGGAUAUCGAGAAGAACACUCAGGGCGUAGGCAAGAUCCUGGACAAAUGUUGACGCUCAUGCACGAAGGCUAGGGUAGCGAACGGGAUUAGAUACCCCUGUAGUCC